rnacentral:rRNA from 1 species
UGCGUAGGCGGGUCUUUAAGUCAGGGGUGAAAUCCUGGAGCUCAACUCCAGAACUGCCUUUGAUACUGAAGAUCUUGAGUUCGGGAGAGGUGAGUGGAACUGCGAGUGUAGAGGUGAAAUUCGUAGAUAUUCGCAAGAACACCAGUGGCGAAGGCGGCUCACUGGCCCGAUACUGACGCUGAGGCACGAAAGCGCGGGGAGCAAACA